UUUUUUUUGAAACUCAAAAAAUGCAAAAUGCUUUUUCUCCCCCCCUUCUGAUCCUAAGGCCAGCUCAGACAACAGACAUUUGUUUAGAGAGAACAGACUGGAGUUCUGGUGGAAGGAAGGACAAAUACAAAACUUCACUUUGUCAAAGAAAGCAUGGAGAAAAUCAAGUACAGAGCACAAGUCCACCAGGAAAACUUAAAAGGUAAGUUUAUAUGAUGGGAGGGGGGAGAAAACCCCCUUGUUCUUUCUGUUCAUACUCAGAUGAUUAGUACAUUUGAAACUGAGGAUGGCUUUAUUAACUUCUUUGCAAUGAACAUGUUUGGAUUUUUAUGUUAGUGGUAGAUAUGCAAAGAGGAGAAAAAUCUGCAUAAUAAACAUAAUAAUUGUCUUUUUACUAGUCCUGGAACUAGUCAAUCACCUAGCAAAUUUAAGCCUUUGGAUAUUCAAGUAUUAGAAAUCUAGAUUUUGAAGCAACAGCUUGGGUUUCCAUGGUCCCACCAGAGGCUGAGGCAAAGCAGCUGAAGUUACUGCAGUUAGUUAUGCCCGCACUGCAUUGAUGCCCAAACAGACUAAAUUAAGAAAUCAUACUUAAGAUGUUUGUUCUAUAAAUAUCACUUUUUCCAUUUAAAUGCACGUGUAGCUCAUUUCAAAUAUGUCUUGUGACAAAGUGUUUAAUUGCAAUAUGCAUGGAACAGGUCAAAUAAAAUAUACCAGUCUCCUGAGAAGAACAAAGACAGGGAAACCCUCCUGAAUUUUACCAAGCUCUUACACUCUCUUUUGUUUUUUAUGCAAGCAAGUAAGUAAAACAAUUAUGUAUCUUGAUUUUAUUUUGCAUUGCAACUCUCUGCAUUACUUGGAUAGAGAGCAGAAUUGAAAAAAAAAAACCACACAAAAAAAGGGGAUCCAUUCCCUAAUCUAGUAGCAUUCCACACAGACAGCUGUGCUUGCACGAGAGGACAUGGGAGAAAAAAUUAAUCAAAGGAGAGAAAAAUCAGUACUUUACCUAUAGUGCAGCUUGUUAUCAAUUCAUUGCAGGUUUAGAUUAUUUCUUUUCUGAGGCCAAGCAGGCAUCAGUAAGUGCUCACUGGAUGCAUUCAGCCCCAGCUGAGGAGACAUACUGCUUAAACCUCAGAGACUUCCCCAUCCCACAGGAAGGUAAAAAUCCAAAAAGCUGUAAUUCUUUAAGCACCGACUACUAAUUUACUUGGAACCAUUUCCAAAGAGCAGCAGAAGAUGGUUUCAAUAAAGAAAACAGGGUUUUGAGACAAAAUUGCAACAUUAUGAUUUAAUGGAAACAAAGAUAAAGGCUAGAUUCCUUUAUGCUUGAGUGACAAGCCAUGCAGAUGUCUUUCCUUUCUAAAGAAACUGCUAGUGAAAGGGUCUGAACUGAAUAUGCUAAAGGGUGCAAGUCAAUAUUUUGUGUUAAACUGCUGAUUUCCUUAUCAGAACAGUGAAACAAAGUUUAGCAUAACACCUUGAGCCCUACAAAUUCUGCACAGUUGUGUUUAAGCCAGGUAUAAACCCAGGUUACUCUGUUAAAAGAAUUCUUCUAAAGUAAUCCAGAAUAACAAUUUAAUUGCACUUGUGUUUCUUGGGCCACGGAAAAUUCAGGAACUUUAUCCUAGGACUGUGUUAGUGAAUUACAGGAACUUCCCAGUGAGAGAAUGCAGACAGUAAAAAUGAGCAUCUUAGGAACAGCAGGCUUAUGCAGCAAAGCUAUUGUCCAAGAUGUGAAGCAACAAUUACUGCCUGGGCCAAAAAACAUCUCAUUUGUGAGAGGAACUUCAGCCUUUAGAUCCAAAUUCUAGAUCUGUGCUUGCCAAGGUCUGUUAUUUAACAAAAAACUGCUUCCAACCAUGAGGAAAGACCCUGAACCAAAGAAGCAGAACAGGACUGAGUACUCUGAGCAAUACUGCAAAGCUGCAGUAUCUGGGCAUCAGCCAGAGCCAUCCUUAUCACAAAAGGUGUCAGGUCAAAACUCACUGCAGCUGAUGGCCUCCUAAAAAGAGACAAUGCACAGCCAAAAUGAGAAAAAAGAACAUAAGCUGGUAUUACCAAGAGGUUCUGAGGGGACACCCUGGGCAUUAAGAGACCUUUUACAGGAUUCUGUCCUAAGCAACAGCAAGGAUUUAAGAUAAUGGAGCAACUUUGCUUUUUACUAAGCCUAAUAGUUCCUGCAAAGAGGAUGAGGGAAAUUAAUUAAUUUAAAUACAUAUGGCCUGCAGUGAGUGGCUGCACAUUUUGAUCUUCUUGCCUUUGGGGUUUCAGUGCUUUUUAAGCUCCAACAUGGUAUGACCUUUCAUGACUUUCAUAGCAGACCAUUCCUACUGUCCUUCAUUCUGCUCUCUGUAUGCACCCAGAUCAAACAAUCCUUUCAAUUUAAAGCACAGUAGGACUGUAGCUGCUACCUCAAAACACCCCUAAAGAUGUCCAGGGGUUGAAAUGGAGAUGCUAAACAUCUUCCACAAAGCACACCCACUUUCCAACAUACAUUAGAAGAGAUGUGUUGGUAAGUACUGCUCAAGUCACUUUUGCAGGAGGGGGUUUUCUGCCUUCUCUUUUAUUGAUAGUUCACACACUGUCCUUUCAAGCACUGAAUUUGGCAAAUGGUUCACCCCUCACCCACAAAUGCACACAUGGUCUAAACUUCUAACAUCUCUAAAAUCUUCUAAAUCUAAAACUACCUGUCUCUUUUUCACAUUGGUUCACAGAGCUUUCAUGGAGUGGUAAAAAGAAUGCCAGGAGUAUUUAAUUUCACUUUUAUAACACAGAUCUCUUUCCACAUUAUUGAACAUUAAAUCCUCCAUUAUCAGUUAAGCACAGGAUUGUGCUUUAUUUCCACAUAAUGUUGUCUUGCCUUCAUUGAAAGCUCUCCUUGAAAAUUCUUCACAUUUUGUUUCUGGUUGGUUUUGUUUUGAACAAACUGCUUUGCAACUACACUGAAAUAAACAACCCCAAAAAUACCAAAGCACACAGACUUUGGAAGCAGACAAACAUACAUUUCAUUUUCUUUACCUUCCCCUCCUUUGCUACUUCUGAAAUAAAACAAAACUUGCUGGAUUUCAUAUCAAAGUGUAUCUUACAAGCUCUCAAGCAGUAAAUUAAAUAGUUGUGAGGAAAAAAAAAAUCAACCAAUGAACUUGAUUUGUGAACCAUCAGCAGAGUAGAAGAGAAGGUGGUGUUGGACAGACCAAAAAAUUGCCAGUGUUUCUCAUCCAUUUAGAAUUUCCACCAUCAGCCAAUAACAAUGUGGAGAAAGGAGCACCACACACAACAAACAAGUGGUAAGUGGAACCUGCUAAGUCCUUAGGUAACUCUUCCUGCUACCAGUCCCUACAAAGCUUUCCAGUUAUGUACUUGAAAGACCAGGGGAAAGACCUGGGGAUUUACAAGCCUGAGGUUGUCACAGCAGCUGAUUCUCACCAACAUCCCAGUUCCUAGCAGGGUCCUUAAGGAACAGGCAUUUACAUUAGGCAAUGUCCAUGCAAAUUUUGCUGCUUUGGCUCUGUCCAAGACACAUCCAUAACAGGUAAAAGGUACCACUGAGACAGUUCUGGUGAGAUAUAUAGCUUUCUUUCAUUGAUCCCAACUGCUUCCAGGACAGAUGAUGCUGUACACAGAGUAAGGACUAGACUUUAGCCUAGUUCUUAACUAUUCAAAAAAUUACAGGUAAGUUUGCCAACACACAAAGAAACUAAAUUUAAAAAACCCCAAUUCUGAAUGUAUAUACAUGUAUAUAAAAAGAUAUUCCAGUGUCUGUGCAAAACACUGAAGUGACCACUUAUGCCUUUUUUUUCCCCUCCAAUAUUUCCCUGAAAGAAAGGGAUAAUCUUAUUUCACCAAGCCUCUCUUCAGAAUUCAUUGCUUCUGACAUGAAGACUCUUCUCCAACUCUAAGUCAGGAAUUAUAUCUCUAUCUGCAGUGUGAGGCAUCAGGAAUAAGAGAGCAUUUUAUUUUUCCAAAGCUGGCAAGUUGUUUAUUAAAUCUGCAACUUCUCUGAGAUAACAUGCUCCAAAAGAAUUAAUAGGAACUCAUUUGUUUAUGGACGAAGAGUGACAAGAAUGUCUAUGUCCCAAGUACCAAAAGAAGAAAGUAAUCACUUUUCUCAAAUGCAGGUCAUGUGUUUUCUCAAUACAAUUCAGCCAUGUAAUAUUUAAACCAUCCUACAUUCACUAAGACCAUCAACGUUUUCUAGAAGAUUCACAGAGUAUUUUCAGGCACGGGCAAACUUCUUUUUCAGAUGAAGCUCCAAUUUUCAGAAGUAUACCAUUUCCCUGGGUAAAAGUCUGAAAACAGAUUUGAAAUCACCUCAGGGAUCAGUUUCCUAUUGGUGUCUAGGAUGUCACUCACCUUCACAAUUCUUAGGAAAAUGCAAAAUCCUUAUGUAUGACUAAUUUAAUCUACAGACAUCAAAAACCAUUCAAUCCUACAGCUACUUCACUCUGCAGAAAUCAGCAUUACCACCUCCUCCCAUUCUUUCAUAAGUGUAUUUGCACAAGUUUUGAUAUAACAUUUGAAGAAACACUCCAACAAUUGAGCAUUCAUGUCUGUUCAGGUGUUGCAGGAGUUUUUAUACGUAAUUAGUGCUCUCAUUUGAGCUGUCUUACCCCUCUGACAGCUUUCCUUUCAGUAUAAUGAACAAGGCAGCACAAGUUCUGUUUCAAACCUCAAUCUUAACAGCUUGAAACUGCUGAGACAGAAAAGCAGUGAGCUGCAAGAGGUACAGCUGACCAUACACACAUGCACCAGUGCUUCAAAUAACACAAUCGCAAUAUCACCCUUCUUACAGGAAAAUAAAGCAGUAUUCUCAGCCUCUGCUGAUAAUUCACUUAUAAUUCACUUUUUUAAGCCAUUGUCCUUAGCUGUAACUUCAGCUAUUAUAUAUGGUCAUUAUACAAAAAAGGCUGUAAUAAUUACUUUUUUAUCACUUUUAAACUGUCAAUAUGAAACUUGCAUUCAUUUUGUCCAAACCCAAGAUUUUUAAUACACAUUGGAUUAAAUUUCCUUUAUUGUGUGCAUACUAACAAGUUAUCUACUACAAACACUGUUAACCAGUUUUAGACCUACACUUAACAUCAAGUGUAUUUCACUUCAUUCUCGUUUUAACCCACAUAACCCAACCUCCCUUCAGGUCUUUAUUCAGUUUUCCCUGGCUCUGUACUACCGUCCCCAAAUAGAAACUAACAAGUGCUAACCACUGUUAUCAAUGAACAGACUCCUAAGAGGCACUCACUUUUGGACUCAUUUCUCUCUCUGGUCACAUCCAUGGCAGCAUCAUGAUCCUGCAAACACAGCUGUGACGCUCAGCACAGACACUCAACACUUCAGGGCUGCCAUGAAAAACCCACCAAGACCAUGCAAUAGACUAAGUAAAACAACACUGCUUUGAAAGUCACAGUGCCCCAGUGAUCUGGGACAAGUUUGGACAAAGCACAGGCCAAAAAGUUUCACCCAGGAACACAGCUAUGUUUUUGCAACCAAGGAAACCCUGCACCCUUCAGUACACAACUGCAGCAGCAAAAGGGAACAUUAAACAGAGCUGGGAGAAAAAGACAGAGAGGCCACUUGUUUCCUAAGCCCAGCAGUGCAUACUACCUUUUACUACCCUCAUUUCCUUGGACACACAACCCACACCCUCAUCUCUAACAGGUUUUUAUAUUCUUCUCCUAAAGGAACUCUAAUGCUAGGUUACAGAAGAUGCCAAUAUACUUUAAAAGAACCCACAACCCUAACAUUUGGGAAAAUACUGAGUCUCCUGUACAAUUAAACCAACGAAGUCUGUGUACACAAUGACUGGUUUUAGCUGUACAAAUUACAUUCUAAUGCAGCUUGCAAACAGUUGGCCUGCAGGCCAACAUGCAAUUUAAAGUGACGAGUCCAUUUUCAAAACCUAAUUAAAAAUAUUAGACAGCAAGAUCUCCCAGGCUGCGUAGACACAGACUAGAACAGAGCCUAUGCCAAAUGCAUGGUGGCAUUCUUUGAGCAGUUAGCAUGGGCAAAAGUGACAACUUCACCUCAUGCUUGUUCUUGUACAAAAACGUAACUUAAGCAGCUGCAGCUACUAAAAUAUUGAAAUAAGCAAGGAAAAUAGAGCACUGUAUGUAAUUUGGGAGACUGAGAUGUUACCAGCUAUGUUAGGUAUACAUAGUCCAGGAAAAGCAGAGGAAUGGGAGUAUCUUGGCAUCACAUGGAAUCCAGAGAGUAGCUGUACAGCAUAGCUGUGGCAGAGAGCAAGAAGCCAUCAUCACUUAGUGAGAAUUUAAGAGUGUUUUGCAAGACUGUGGGAAGGGAACAAUUUCCACCAUCCUCAGUUAUAACUGAGUUAUUAUAACUCAUUAUUAUAUAUAAAUAUAUAUAAGUUGUUAUAACAACUGCAUACUCCAAAAGACUCAAGCCCAGAUGUGUCUUCCCAACAGGGCAGCUACUGGGGGCAGUACUCAGAAUCCUGCAGAAUUGCAGGAUCCUCAGCCGUAUCUCCACUUCUAAAGAUGCCAUGAAAUCGGUGGCCUGUCACUCAAAAUAUGCCCUUCUUUUGCUUGAAUAAUUGUAAGUGUGAAUCAGAUAAGGAGAUUUAUCCCCUGCAGCCUUUUUCCUAUCACUCACAGUCUAAAAAUAUGUAUAUAAAUGGAUCGUUUCCACACGUAUUUGUUGUUUUCAUUUGAAAGCAGAAAUGUAGGUUUCACAGAUUAACAUUCCUAGAUCAGUUAAACAAUUUUAAUGUUUUUGUUUAUUUUUAUUUUUUUUAAAUCAAACAGCCAAAAACUAAAAGUAGAAAGACUCACAAGUAGUUUUUCAUAAGCCUAGGAAACUUAAACAAUUUAACAAAGAAGCCAGCACUUUAAGAACAGUUAGUAAUAUACAGCUGAUAUCCUGUCUUUCAAAGGCCAAGUCAUUUUGGAAUUCCCAUUAAUAAAAUUUAAAAA